AAACCAACAGGGAUUGCCUUAGUAGCGGCGAGUGAAGCGGCAAAAGCUCAAAUUUGAAAUCUGGUACUUUCAGUGCCCGAGUUGUAAUUUGAAGAAGGUAUCUUUGGGUCUGGCGCUUGUCUAUGUUUCUUGGAACAGAACGUCACAGAGGGUGAGAAUCCCGUGCGAUGAGAUGAUCCAGACCUAUGUAAAGUUCCUUCGACGAGUCGAGUUGUUUGGGAAUGCAGCUCUAAGUGGGUGGUAAAUUCCAUCUAAAGCUAAAUAUUGGCGAGAGACCGAUAGCGAACAAGUACAGUGAUGGAAAGAUGAAAAGAACUUUGAAAAGAGAGUGAAAAAGUACGUGAAAUUGUUGAAAGGGAAGGGCUUGAGAUCAGACUUGGUAUUUUGUAUGUUACUUCUUCGGGGGUGGCCUCUACAGUUUAUCGGGCCAGCAUCAGUUUGGACGGUAGGAGAAUUGCGGUGGAAUGUGGCACGGCUUCGGUUGUGUGUUAUAGCCACUGUCGAUACUGCCAGUCUAGACUGAGGACUGCGGUUUAUACCUAGGAUGUUGGCAUAAUGAUCUUAAGUCGC
rnacentral:rRNA from 1 species